rnacentral:rRNA from 1 species
AACGAACGCUGGCGGCAUGCCUAACACAUGCAAGUCGAGCGGAAAGGCCCUUUCGGGGUUAGUGGCGGACGGGUGAGUAACACGUGGGAACGUGCCUUUAGGUUCGGAAUAACUCAGGGAAACUUGUGCUAAUACCGAAUGUGCCCUUCGGGGGAAAGAUUUAUCGCCUUUAGAGCGGCCCGCGUCUGAUUAGCUAGUUGGUGAGGUAAAGGCUGACCAAGGCUACGAUCAGUAGCUGGUCUGAGAGGAUGACCAGCCACAUUGGGACUGGUACGCGUCCCAAUCUCCUACGGGAGGCAGCAGUGGGGAAUCUUUCGCAAUGGGCGAAAGCAUGACGCAGCCAUGCCGCGUGGAUGAUGAAGGUCUUAGGAUUGUAAAAUCCUCUCACCGGUGAAGAUAAUGACUGUAGCCGGAGAAGAAGCCCCGGCUAACUUCGUGCCAGCCGCCGCCGUAACAC